rnacentral:lncRNA from 1 species
AUGGAACCCAAUGGCGGGGACAUAGAACCCAAUGGGGGGGAUAGGAACCCAAUGGGGGUCCCAAACCCACGAUGGGGGCAAUACAAACACUAUGAGGCGGUCCCAAACCCAAUGGGGGGCAAUAACAAACACUUAUGGGGGGUCCCAAACCCAAUGGGGGGACAUGACCCAUGGGGUUGAUAGGAACCCAAUGGGGGGAUCAGGAACCCAAUGGGGGGAUAGGAACCAAUGGGGCGCAUAGAAACCUAGGGGGGACUAGGAACACAAUGGGGGGGAUAGGAACCCAAUGGGGGGACAUGGAACCCAAUGGGGGGGUCCCAAACCCAAUGGGGGGACAUGGAACCCAAUGGGGGGACAUAGAACCCAAUGGGGGGACGUGGAACCCAAUGGGGGGGAUAGGAACACAAUGGGGGGCAAUAGAACCCAAUGGGGGGGAUAGGAACCCAAUGGGGGGCAAUAGAACCCAAUGGGAGGGAUAGGAACCCAGUGGGGGGCAAUAGAACACUAUGGGGGGGAUAGGAACCCAAUGGGGGGGUCCCAAACCCAAUGGGGGGCAAUAGAACCCAAUGGGGGGGAUAGGAACCCAAUGGGGGUCAAUAGAACACUAUGGGGAGGAUAGGAACACAAUGGGGGGACAUGGAACCCAAUGGGAGGGAUAGGAACCCAAUGGGGGGCAAUAGAACACUAUGGGGAGGAUAGGAACCCAAUGGGGGGACAUGGAACCCAAUGGGGGGCAAUAGAACACUAUGGGGGGGAUAAGAACCCAAUGGGGGGCAAUAGAACACUAUGGGGAGGAUAGGAACCCAAUGGGGGGACAUGGAACCCAAUGGGGGGAUCCCAAACCCAAUGGGGUAGCACGGGACCAGCCUCAUGAACUACCUGAGGAUGGUACGGGGUCAUUGGGGUCCAUACAACACUAUGGGGGGCAUAGGGACCCCAUAGCAGUGGGGGACAAUGGGGGGCAAUAGAACCCAAGGGGGGGACAUGGAACCCAAUGGGGGGACAUGGAACCCAAUGGGGGGGAUAGGAACCCAAUGGGGGGCAAUAGAAACCCAAGGGGGGGAUAGGAACCCAAUGAGGGGGUCCCAAACCCAAUGGGGGGACAUGGAACCCAAUGGGGGGGUCCCAAACCCAAUGGGGCAGCACGGGACCAGCCUCAUGAACUACCUGAGGAUGGUGGGUGUCUGGCACUCCAACCGCACUCUGGCCAUGGACGCCGCCUCGUUGUCCCUCAACGCGUCCGACAGCCUGGCCAACAAGACCCUCAUCGUCACCACCAUCCUGGUGAGAUACUGGGGGUCUAUGGGGG